GGGAAUAUAGCUUAGUGGUAGAGCAUUUGUUUAGCAUGAACAAGGGCCUGGGUUCAAUCCCCAGCACUGCCG
rnacentral:tRNA from 1 species